rnacentral:lncRNA from 1 species
CACCACCUCUCUUAUACAUGCCCCUCUCUAAUAUAUACCACCUCUCUAAUACACCACCUCUCUAAUACUCCCUCUCUAAUACACCACCUCUGUAAUAAGUCCCCUUCUCCUUAUACAAUACAGUUCCCACAUGAAUUGGUAACAUAUGGUGGAAAUGGUCAAGUGUUUUCUAAUUGGGCACAGGUGAGUCAGGAAUUCAGGAGUAUGCCAGGGAUUUGUCAAGAUACAUAUUCAAUCUGACCAACCACCUGUCUCAGUGUAAACACAAGGGCCUUUGCUCGAUAGUUACAUCCCUACCAAUGAAAGCUUGUUCAUAUUAUUGGCACUACCUACACUGGCACACACAAUUCAAGAUUAUAUCCAGAUAAACCAGCCAGAAUAGCACAAUCUAUACUGGCAAUAGUUCUGCAAACAAAUUAUGCGUAUUUGUAAACACGAACCUCAUGAUUUAUUUACUUACUUUCAGUUUCGUCUGGUGAUGCAUUACCUAUCAAUCAUGACAGAUGAACAAACGCUGGUCAUGUACUCAGGACAUCCGUUAGGAC